rnacentral:rRNA from 1 species
CUAAUACAUGCAAGUCGAACGCUGCUUAAGAAGAAACUUCGGUUUUUUCUUAAGCGGAGUGGCGGACGGGUGAGUAACACGUGGGGAACCUAUCCAUCAGCGGGGGAUAACACUUGGAAACAGGUGCUAAUACCGCAUAGGGCUUUUUUUCACCUGAAAAGAAGCUGAAAGGCGCUUUGUGCGUCACUGAUGGCUGGUCCCGCGGUGCAUUAGCCAGUUGGUGAGGUAACGACUCACCAAAGCAACGAUGCAUAGCCGACCUGAGAGGGUGAUCGGCCACACUGGGACUGAGACACGGCCCAGACUCCUACGAGAGGCAGCAGUAGGGAAUCUUCCGCAAUGGACGAAAGUCUGACGGAGCAAUGCCGCGUGAGUGAAGAAGGUCUUCGGAUCGUAAAGCUCUGUUGCCGGAGAAGAACAAGGACAGUAGUAACUGGCUGUCCCUUGACGGUAUCCGGCCAGAAAGCCACGGCUAACUACGUGCCAGCAGCCGCGGUAAUACGUAGGUGGCAAGCGUUGUCCGGAUUUAUUGGGCGUAAAGCGAGCGCAGGCGGUUCUUUAAGUCUGAUGUGAAAUCUUGCGGCUCAACCGCAAACGUGCAUUGGAAACUGGAGGACUUGAGUGCAGAAGAGGAGAGUGGAAUUCCACGUGUAGCGGUGAAAUGCGUAGAGAUGUGGAGGAACACCAGUGGCGAAGGCGAC